GGGAUGAGAGCCACUCAGACUAGCCAAGGAGACUGCCUGUGUAACCAACCCACUGAGAGUUUUUAGGGCACUGAAACCUGAACCGAGAGGGCAUAUGGCACAGGCAAGUCAUCCUUGGCUUGCCAGAGAGACUCUUCGUCU
rfam:Musa acuminata subsp. malaccensis Doubled-haploid Pahang (DH-Pahang) genomic chromosome, chr7